GCCUAGCUAGCUCAAUCGGCUUAGAGCGUGAGGCUUUUAAUCUCAAGGUUGCGGGUUCGAGUCCCGCGUUGGGCU
rnacentral:tRNA from 1 species